UACGGGAGGCAGCAGUGGGGAAUAUUGCACAAUGGGCGAAAGUCUGAUGCAGCUAUGCCGCGUGUAUGAAGAAGGCCUUAGGGUUGUAAAGUACUUUCAUCGGGGAGGAAAAACAAAACUAAUAAUUUUAUUUCUUGACGUUACCCGAAAAAGAAGCACCGGCUAACUCCGUGCCAGCAGCCGCGGUAAUACGGAGGGUGCUAGCGUUAAUCAGAAUUACUGGGCGUAAAGAGCACGUAGGUGGUUUUUUUAAGUCAGAUGUGAAAUCCCUGGGCUUAACCUAGGAACUGCAUUUUGAAACUGAAAUACUAGAGUAUCGUAGAGGGAGGUAGAAUUCUAGGUGUAGCGGUGAAAUGCGUAGAUAUCUGGAGGAAUACCUGUGGCGAAAGCGGCCUCCUAAACGAAUACUGACACUGAGGUGCGAAAGCGUGGGGAGCAAACAGGGAUUAGAUACC
rnacentral:rRNA from 1 species